GCAUAUUUGUUAUGGAAGCAGAGAAGCCUCGGAGAGUUUAUAGGUUAUAAGUACCUCAAUAAAUGCUGUAAAAGCAUCAGUUGACUUUUGGUUGACAGUAUCGAGAAUAGGUAUGAAGAUGUGAGGAAUGUAUAGAAUCAAAUAAAAAGAAAAAUGGAACUCGAGGACAAGAGUCCGCUAGCUGUUGAAAUUGGGCAGGAGGAGAAUACAACCAGUCUUGAUAAGUCCGCAAAUAUUGAUCUAUUGAGCGAUUGCCAGAAUGAAAUGGAAGGAACUGUGAUAAUUUAUGACAAUGACGCACAUGGAGAGACAAUUGU